GAUGAACGCUGGCGGCGUGCUUAACACAUGCAAGUCGAACGGUAAGGCUCCUGCUUGCAGGGGUACUCGAGUGGCGAACGGGUGAGUAACACGUGGGUGAUCUGCCCUGCACUUCGGGAUAAGCCUGGGAAACUGGGUCUAAUACCGGAUAGGACGAUGGUUUGGAUGCCAUUGUGGAAAGUUUUUUCGGUGUGGGAUGAGCUCGCGGCCUAUCAGCUUGUUGGUGGGGUAAUGGCCUACCAAGGCGUCGACGGGUAGCCGGCCUGAGAGGGUGUACGGCCACAUUGGGACUGAGAUACGGCCCAGACUCCUACGGGAGGCAGCAGUGGGGAAUAUUGCACAAUGGGCGCAAGCCUGAUGCAGCGACGCCGCGUGGGGGAUGACGGCCUUCGGGUUGUAAACUCCUUUCGCUAGGGACGAAGCGCAAGUGACGGUACCUGGAGAAGAAGCACCGGCUAACUACGUG
rnacentral:rRNA from 1 species